UUAUCUCUUCUAUCCACCAUACAAUUCGGAAUGCAUAGCCAUGCAAACGGCCGCCUUUAUAGCAUUCCCAUUUCGUUUCAGGCCGACCUUCUGUGUCCUAUUCUCAGUAUUCUUCUGUGGAUUUGAAAUCGACCUCAGAAGCACGAAAAAUGGCAGCUGCAGCCUGCUUGAAUUAUGGUACACCAACCUCACUCAAAGCUACAUCAGAAGCAGCUCAAAACAGGAAACAACUGCAUGUUUGACAUAACGAUGGUGGGAAAAAGAAGCCUGAUGAUGAUGGGGCUGAGAGGGGGACAUUGUAAGGCGAACAAAAGGGUAGGGACGGUGAGGUGCAGUGGGAUAGGAAUAGAGGACUUCAUAGGGGGGGAUUUGGUGAAUUUUGAUCUGGGUCAAUGGCUGUCGGAUGUGGAAGAGCACAAAGCCCUCGCCAUUUACACCCCGCAUGAGGGAGGCUACGAGGGUAGAUACUUUACAUGACUCCGAUACCAGGGAUACUAUUUCCUCGACCUCACUGCUAGAGGCCUUGGAGUAGACCCUCAGACCACCCCAAUCACCAAGAUUCACCCCUGUUUGCCCUUUGAGUUGUUAACUACGUGCCCCUAUACUCUCAGCACCAUGGUUCUGCAUAUCUGCUUGAUCCUUAGUUCAACUUUUGCUCUGUUGAAAUGCAGGCACAUUUAGGGAAACAGCCCAUUGCGAGGUGGUAUUUCCCACCGGAAGUUGAUUACAGGCUCGAUGCACUGCCUCCAGAUGCCAAAGGACUUGUGGUGUGGAUAAUUGAAGCCAAGGUUCUUUCCAUGCAAUCAAAGCCCCAAUUAAGUGAAGAUGAACAGAUUCAACUCAUGAAACAUAAUAUGCGGAAAUAGGAUAAAUCUACACGUACGAAUAAUGUACGAACCCGUCCAUGCCUAAGACCCCCAAUUGGAAGGGAAGUCAUGAAAAGUCGCCUCACCAACCAGAUUUUAAAGGCAACACUACAGCUUUAAACAUGCCUAAAGAUCUCUCUUGAGAUACACUACAAUCUAUAAAGCAACCUAUUUUCUCAGGUACACGGGGGAAAAUCAGCUGCAACGUCAGUCGAUAAAUUUGUUAAAAAAAUGCGAAUGAAAAGCACAGAAUGGGAGGGAAAGUGGGAAAUGAAACUACGAAAGUAGAGGAUUUCCUUAGUCGCUCGGAACAAGAUUCAAACCCAGCCAAAGAAAGCCACUAAAUCUAAGCCGAUGGUCGUCGUUGUGGGUAGCCAAAGCUGCGCUUGUGUGGUUGUCGUCGUGUUUAAGUUGUUUAGAUUUUCACAUUUCUUUGCAUUAUUUUCUCUCUUUGCUACUUUUUUGGACGACUCUUGGGGAACAAUGCUUUGGGGCCUGUUGUUGAGGUGCAGAUAUUCCAAGCCUUGUGCGACACCUCGAGCAAUUGAUAAUUUAUGGAACUUAGUCUCCACUACCUCUCCCUCUUGCAAUGUCCAUCGAAUUCCAUUUAUAAAGGAAAAGGGAUAGCUUUUUAA